rnacentral:tRNA from 2 species
UUUUGUAUAGCUCAGUUGGUAGAGCAGUGGCCUUUUAAGCCAAUGGUCCUUGGUUCGAUUCCAAGUACACGAA